UACGUAGGGUGCGAGCGUUAAUCGGAAUUACUGGGCGUAAAGCGUGCGCAGGCGGUUUUGUAAGCCAGAUGUGAAAUCCCCGGGCUUAACCUGGGAAUGGCAUUUGGGACUGCAAGGCUUGAGUGCGGCAGAGGAGACUGGAAUUCCUGGUGUAGCAGUGAAAUGCGUAGAUAUAAGGAGGAACACCGGUGGCGAAGGCGGUGCUCUGGGCCGGUACUGACGCUGAGGGGCGAAAGCGUGGGUAGCAAACAGG
rnacentral:rRNA from 1 species